ensembl:lncRNA
AUACAGCAGUCGGCUUAACAGGCAGCUCUCUUUUAACACAGACUUUUAAGAAGGGAUGGAUAUUUGCGUCAAGUGAUAGGCCAGCUCUUCACAAGCAAACUGUUCGAGCCUCUUGCCUGCCAGCCAGUCAAGAUGGCCCCCCAACCCUGCAGCCAAUCCCACGGUCGGGCACGCAGAAGAAAACCGCAGGCCAGCUGAUCCUCUCCCUGGCUACCUUCAUCUGCUCCUGCGGAAAUUUUUGGACUUGCAUGAAUUUUCAAGAGCUUCAUGGUCUACUGGGCUGGAGCAUUUCAGGAAGGAAAGAAUGGGGAGAAAGCCCUUGAGUCAUAUUCAGGCCUCAGAAAUCUUUUACUUGAUAACCCUGCUACAAAUGAUCACUAUGGCUUGAAAUGAGGGGAAAGGCCAUGGUUAAGUAGCGUUUGGCAGCUAGCACCUUUUUUUAAUUGUGUGUCGCAUGCUGUGUUUGGAGAUUUCACACGAUUUAGCCCCAGUCAGCAUGGAGAACGUGGCCCUAGCAAGAUGUUAUUGUGACUGUAAACAAUCCUCCUUACACAAGUUAUUGCUAAACAGCUAAGUUUCUUAUAAGCAAAUCAUUUUUGACUUUUAUUUCAGAUAUUUUGUGAAGAUUCACAUUAAUUGUCCCAGAAAGUGCUUAUCUCGACUCAUCCCUCUACCUAAUUUGCAGCCUUACUACCUCAUGGCUAACACGCUAAUGACUGAAACCUCCAACCUCCCCUUCCUAGAAAGAGGAAUAAAUGGCUAUGUGCAAAUAGAUUAUGAUGAACUGCUUGAACUGCAAUUAAGGCAGAAGGAAGAGAAGGAGAUGACAGCAGUUUAGACAACAAUUUGGGCAACUGCAGCUGCAGCUGCUUUGUGGUUUAAUGCAGUAAUUGAUAGACUCUGCCUGUCACUAGAGGGAUCAGAAUGCAAACUUAAAUUACCAUCAUUAGGGUUCUCCUAAUUGCAGCAUUACAUGCAAAGCCUGUUUUUGUUUGUUAUUAUAAAACGACUCUUCUGUUAUCUAAUUUGUUCGGGCAGAUCUUCCCUUCCUUUAAUACGGAAACAAAUUAGAAUUCGGAUUUGGAGCUCAAUGGAAAAUCCAGACACUUUCCGAAUCGUGGUCAUAAUAUGAACAUAAUCACAGCUAAGCAUUAUUUCAUUAAACAGGUGCAGUGAUUAUGCAUCUUAAAGUGUUUGUUUGCAAAUUUGAAUCAAUCAAAUGGACCCAUUGAGAGCAUCUUGAUCUAUUUACUGAUUAUACGAUUGCAAACUGGCAUAAUCAUCAAUUUAUUCUCACGUGCAAUGAAACAUC